AUUGGUCUAGAAUCACCAACAGCUAGAAAGCAGUUCUUUGUCUAAAUAUGCGUCUCGUUGGAUUACUUGUAACUUCCGUGUGGUACGCAAUAGCAGUCUACUUUUCCACGCUAUCCGCGCCAAAUUCGGCACAAUAUUUUUAAUUAGGAUAUUUAUCAUGUCUAACACAGUUACUGGUACAGUAAAAUGGUUCAACGAAACUAAAGGCUUCGGCUUCAUUCAACAAGAGAACGGUCCUGACGUAUUCGCUCAUUUCUCAGCGAUCACAGGCGACGGUUUCAAAACUCUAGUUGAAGGUCAAAAAGUUGAGUUUGUAGUAACUACAGGUCAAAAAGGCCCACAAGCUGAAAACAUCAAAGUACUUUAAUUUAGUACCUUUUUUCUAAAAAUAGCCAGCAUUAUGCUGGCUAUUUUU
rnacentral:sRNA from 1 species